UACGUAGGUGGCAAGCGUUGUCCGGAUUUACUGGGCGUAAAGGGCUUGUAGGCGGUCCGUUAAGUCUGGUGUGAAAUCUCCCGGCUCAACUGGGAGGGGUCAUCGGAUACUGGCGGACUAGAGGUGGGUAGAGGAAAGCAGAAUUCCUGGUGUAGCGGUGAAAUGCGUAGAUAUCAGGAGGAAUACCAGUGGCGAAGGCGGCUUUCUGGGCCUAUCCUGACGCUGAGGAGCGAAAGCGUGGGGAGCAAACCG
rnacentral:rRNA from 1 species